rnacentral:lncRNA from 1 species
GAAAGAACGUUUGAUUGGGAAGAAGAAGACGUGCUUUUAUCGACUGCUGGGACAGCAGGAGGGGAAGAGGACAUUGCCAACGAUGCUCAAGUUGCUGUGUUGAAGUUGUUGCAGCUCAGACUGCUCAGUGGACAUGGAAUUCGUAGAACACUCAUCAUUGUAUUCCAACAAGCCUGCCACCACAGCUUUCCUCUGCCAACUGUUGAUAGCAGAGGAGAGGAGUGGCAUUCUCACUGUGCCAGUGUGAGAUGGAAAGAGCCCAGACUCUCGCACACUUCCUUUUUACAUUUCCUCAUCACGGGCCCAUUCGAAAGGGGGAGAGAGAGGGAGAGAGAGGGGGGAGGGAGAGGGGAGAGAGGAGGGAGAGGGGGGAGAGAGAGAGAGAGAGAGAGAGAGAGAGAGAAGAGAGAGAGAAAACUAAAAGAUAAUUACUUGACACAUUGGAAAGAAUUAACAAAAAAACAGAGCAAACUAGAAUGCUGUUUGGCCCUAAACAGAGAGUACACAGUGGCAGAAUACCUGACCACUGUGACUGACCCAAACUUAAGGAAAGCUUUCACUAUGUACAGACUCAGUGAGCAUAGCCUUGCUAUUGAGAAAUGCCGCCGUAGGCAGACCUGGCUCUCAAGAGAAGACAGGCUAUGUGCACACUGCCCACAAAAUGAGGUGGAAACUGAGCUGCACUUCCUAACCUCCUGCCAAAUGUAUGACCAUAUUAGAUACACAUAUUUCCCUCAGAUUACACAGACCCACAAAGAAUUUGAAAACAAACCCAAUGUUGAUAAACUCCCAUUUCUACUGGGUGAAAUUCCACAGUGUGACAUCACAGCAGCAAGAUUUGUGACCUGUUGCCACAAGAAAAGGUCAACCAGUGAAGAACAAACACCAAUGUAAAUACAACCCAUAUUUAUGUUUAUUUAUCUUCCCUUUUGUACUUUAACCAUUUGUACGUCGUUACAACACUGAAUAUAGACACAAUAUGACAUUUGAAAGGUCUUUAUUAUUUUGAGAAUGUCUUGUGGAACUUCUGUGAGUGUAAUGUUUACUGUUGCUUUUUAUUGUUUAUUUCACUUUUGUUAUUAUCUCCUUCACUUGCUUUGGCACUGUUAACAUGCCAACAAAGCCCUUUACAUUGAAAUUGAAUUGUGAGAGAGAGAGAUUUUAUUUUAACACUUGUAUUCAUCUCUGUGUCUGAUUGUUCCCUGGGUGUUUUAAUUGUAGAUAAUUGGGCCAUUUAAGUCAUUGAUUUGAUUUAUCACAUAGAUUUCACACCUGGUGCCCUGAAGCAGCCGUCCGUCCAUCAGAAUUGGUGAAAUAAGGACUAGAAGUGUACAGUAAUACGUUAUUGAUCCCAACUUGGGAAAUUGUUGGCUAAAAGCUCCAAUAUUGUGGGGGUUUUCCUCCCCCUCUGUGUAACUGUAAACCCAUCUAAAAAAAUCUCUCUUGACUCAUGAACUUACGCUACAUAUACAUGAGUACACUGAGAAUAUAAUACACUGAACAAAAAUAUAAACACAACAUGUAAAGUGUUUGUCCCAUGUUUCAUGAGCUGAAAUAAACGAUCCCAGAAAUGUUCCAUACUGCACAAAAAAGCUUAUUUCUCUGAAUCUUCAUUGACAAACAUUGGCAGUAAGAAUGGCUUUACUGAAGAGCUCAGUGACAUUCAACGUGGCACCGUCAUAGGAUGCCACCUUUCCAACAAGUCAGUUCGGCAAAUUUAUGCCCUGGUAAAGCUGCCCUGGUCAAAUGUAAGCGUGGUUAUUGUGAAGUGGAAACAUCUAGGAGCAACAACGGCUCAACCGCAAAGUGGUAGGCCACACAAGCUCACAGAACGGGAUCGGCGAGUGCUGAAACGCGCAGCGCGUAAAAAUCUCCUGUCCUCGGUUGGAACACUCACUAUCGAGUUCCAAACUGCCUCUGGAAGCAACGUCGGCACAAUAACUGUUCAUCAGGAGCUUCCUGAAAUGGGUUUCCAUGGCUGAGCAGCCGCACGCACACCAGCCUAAGAUCACUAUGCACAAGCGUUGGCCGAAAUGGAGUCUGGAGCAGUGGACUCUGGAGCAGUGGACUCUGGAGCAGUGGACUCUGGAGCAGUGGAAACUGGAGCAGUGGAAACUGGAGCAGUGGACUCUGGAUCAGUGGAAACUGGAGCAGUGGACUCUGGAGCAGUGGACUCUGGAGCAGUGGAAACUGGAGCGAUGAAUCACGCUUCACCAUCUGGCAGGCUAGGUCCCUUAGUUCCAGUGAAGGGAAAUCUUAACGGUACAGCAUACAAUGACUUUCUAGAUGAUUCUGCGCUUCCAACUUUGUGGCAACAGUUUGGGGAAGGCCAUUUCCUGUUUCAGCAUGACAGUGCCGCCACGCACAAAGCGAGGUCCUAAAAAAAUUGUUUGUCAAGUUCGGUGUGGAACAACUUGACUGGCCUGCACAGAGCCCUUACCUCAGCCCCAUCGAACACCUUUUGUGAUGAAUUGGAACGCCGACUAUGAGCCAGGCCUAAUCGUCCAACAUCAGUGACCUGAGCGAAGACCCAAAGUCCCUGCACCAAUGUUGCAACAUCUAGUGGUAAGACUUCCCAGAAGAGUGGAGGUUGUUAUCGCAGUACCGGGGGGAGCAUUAAUAACUCCUUAUUAAUGCCUGUGAUUUUAGAAUGAAAUGUUUGACGAGCAGGUGUCCACAUACCUUUGGUCAUGUAGUGUAUUUUGCCAUAAUGAACUGUAGCAAUGUUCAUGACAAUAAUGAUUUAAAAAUACCUCUUUCAGACUGAGUGAUUGUACACAGAUUUCCAGAGAGCCACUCCCUCCUCAGCCCUCCCUGCCUAGCCCUUCCUCCUCCCCCAUCCUCCUACCCACUCCCCAAUCUUUCCCCCUUCCCACUUACCUCCCCUCCUUCAUCCCCACUCCUGCCCCAUUCCCCACUCACUGCCACCCCAUUCCCUCCCUCACCACCCCCCCCACUCUCACCUCCCUACUCCCUCCUCCCCACCCUCUCCCUCCUCCUCCCCACUCCAUCCUGCCCCUUCCCACUUACCUCCCCUCCUUCAUCCCCACUCCUGCCCCAUUCCCUCCCUCACCCCCACCCACUCUCACCUCCCCACUCCCUCCUGCCCCUCCCCACUUUAAACAAUACAAAACAUUCAUAUACAAACGAGAACAUACAGAUGCUCACCAACAUCCACAACAUCACCUCUGCCCAGACCCACCUGCUCACACCCCUCAUCCACAGCACCCACACCCCUCAUCCCCAGCGCCCACACCCCUCAUCCCCAGCGCCCACACCCCUCAUCCCCAGCGCUCACACCCCUCAUCCCCAGCGCCCGUAUCUCUCUCCGCCACAUGGCCUCAAACUGCACCAUUUAGUUUCUCUCCGUCGCCCACAAGCACUUUCAACAUUUAGAUAUUAAAGUAUUUGACCUUUUCCAUUGUGUUAACGAUGGAGGAUUUUAAGUAUCGAACCAACCUAUCGGGUACCUCACUGCAUCCUCAUACACCAUGUCUUGAAAUAUGCAGAAAGAGAGAGUUACACUGAGUCCGCAAAACAUUAGGAACACCUUUCUACUAUGGAGUUGCACCCCCUUCUGCCCUCAGAACUGCCCAUUUUGCCCUCAGAACCGCCCCUUUUGCCCUCAGAACCACCCCUUUUGCCCUCAGAACCGCCCCCUUUGCCCUCAGAACCGCCCCUUUUGCCCUCAGAACCGCCCUCUUUGCCCUCAGAACCGCCCCUUCUGCCCUCAGAGCCGCCUCAAUUCGUCAGGGAAAUGGACUCUACAAGGUGUCGAAUGGCAUUCCACAGGUAUGCUGGCCCAGGUUGUCUCCAAUGCUUCCAACACUUGUGUCAAGUUGGCUGGAUAUCUUUUGGGUGGUGGAACAUUCUUGAUACACACGGGAAACUGUUGAGCGUGAAAAACUCAGCAGCGUAGCAGUUCUUGACACACUCAAACCGGUGCGCCUGGCACCUACUACCAUGGCCCAUUUCAAAGGUACUUAAAUAUUGUGAGUUGCCCAUUCACCUUCUGAAUGUCACACAUACACAAUCCAUAUCUAAAGGCUUAAAAAUCAUUCUUUAACCUGUUUCCUCUCCUUCAUCUACACUGAUUAAAGUGUAUUUUACAUAUUUUAAAUCAAUAAGCUUUCAUCUGGGUUCACCUGGUCAGUCUACGUCAUGUUCCCAAUCAAAUCAAAUCAAAUCAAAAUGUAUUUGUCACAUGAGCCCGAAUACAACAGGUGUAGUAGACCUUACAGUGAAAUGCUGAAUACAACAGGUGUAGUAGACCUUACAGUGAAAUGCUGAAUACAACAGGUGUAGUAGACCUUACAGUGAAAUGCUGAAUACAACAGGUGUAGGUAGACCUUACAGUGAAAUGCUGAAUACAACAGGUGUAGUAGACCUUACAGUGAAAUGCUGAAUACAACAGGUGUAGGUAGACCUUACAGUGAAAUGCUGAAUACAACAGGUGUAGUAGACCUUACAGUGAAAUGCUGAAUACAACAGGUGUAGGUAGACCUUACAGUGAAAUGCUGAAUACAACAGGUGUAGUAGACCUUACAGUGAAAUGCUGAAUACAACAGGUGUAGGUAGACCUUACAGUGAAAUGCUGAAUACAACAGGUGUAGUAGACCUUACAGUGAAAUGCUGAAUACAACAGGUGUAGGUAGACCUUACAGUGAAAUGCUGAAUACAACAGGUGUAGUAGACCUUACAGUGAAAUGCUGAAUACAACAGGUGUAGGUAGACCUUACAGUGAAAUGCUGAAUACAACAGGUGUAGUAGACCUUACAGUGAAAUGCUGAAUACAACAGGUGUAGGUAGACCUUACAGUGAAAUGCUGAAUACAACAGGUGUAGUAGACCUUACAGUGAAAUGCUGAAUACAACAGGUGUAGGUAGACCUUACAGUGAAAUGCUGAAUACAACAGGUGUAGUAGACCUUACAGUGAAAUGCUGAAUACAACAGGUGUAGUAGACCUUACAGUGACAUGCUGAAUACAACAGGUGUAGUAGACCUUACAGUGAAAUGCUGAAUACAACAGGUGUAGUAGACCUUACAGUGAAAUGCUGAAUACAACAGGUGUAGUAGACCUUACAGUGAAAUGCUGAAUACAACAGGUGUAGUAGACCUUACAGUGAAAUGCUGAAUACAACAGGUGUAGUAGACCUUACAGUGAAAUGCUGAAUACAACAGGUGUAGUAGACCUUACAGUGAAAUGCUUACUUACAAGCCCUUAACCAACAGUGCAGUUUUAAGAAAGAAUAAGUGUUGAGAAAGUAUUUACUAAAUAAACUGUAGUAAACAAUAAUUUUAAAAAAAAUUUAAAAAAAAUAAAAGAGCAACAACAGUAGUGAGGCUAUAUACAG